rnacentral:rRNA from 1 species
CAGCGCCACGAGUGGCAACCAUAGUUAUUGGGCCUAAAGCGUCCGUAGCCGGUUGUGUAAAUUUUCUGUGAAAUCGUUAAGCUUAACUUAACGGACUGCAGAAAAGACUACACAACUUGGGACCGGAAGGAGUCAGAAGUAUUUCUGGGGGAGCGGUAAAAUGUUAUAAUCCUCGGUAGACUACCUGUGGCGAAGGCGUCUAACUAGAACGGAUUCGACGGUGAGGGACGAAAGCUAGGGGAGCGAACCGGAUUAGAGACCCGAGUAGUCC